CAGCCGUAAACUAUGCUCGCUAGGUGUCAGGCAUGGCGCGACCGUGUCUGGUGCCGCAGGGAAGCCGUGAAGCGAGCCACCUGGGAAGUACGGCCGCAAGGCUGAAACUUAAAGGAAUUGGCGGGGGAGCACAACAACGGGUGGAGCCUGCGGUUUAAUUGGACUCAACGCCGGACAACUCACCGGGGACGGACAGCAAUAAUGUAGGCCAGGCUGAAGACCUUGCCUGAAUCGCUGAGAGGUGGUGCAUGGCGUAGACGUCU
rnacentral:rRNA from 1 species